rnacentral:rRNA from 1 species
CUCUUCGGGGAUGAUUAAACCGGCGCACGGGUGAGUAACACGUGAGUGACCUGCCUUUUAGACUGGAACAACUUACCGAAAGGUGAGCUAAUGCCGGAUGAGUUAUAUAAGUGCAUGUUUAUAUAGGAAAAGUUGGGGAGACCUGACGCUGAAAGAUGGACUCGCGUCCCAUUAGCUAGUUGGUAGGGUAAUGGCCUACCAAGGCGACGAUGGGUAGCCGGCCUGAGAGGGUGGCCGGCCACACUGGGACUGAGACACGGCCCAGACUCCUACGGGAGGCAGCAGUGGGGAAUUUUGCGCAAUGCUCGUAAGAGUGACGCAGCGACGCCGCGUGAAUGACGAAGGCCUUCGGGUCGUAAAGUUCUUUCGACAGGGAAGAAAAUGCCUAUAAGUAACUGUGUAUGUAUUGACGGUACCUGUAUAAGCAGCCCCGGCUAACUCCGUGCCAGCAGCCGCGGUAAUACGGAGGGGGCGAGCGUUGUUCGGAGUGACUGGGCGUAAAGAGCACGUAGGCGGUGUUGUAAGUCAUUAGUCAAAGACUAGAGCUCAACUUUAGUAAGGCUAGUGAUACUAUAAUACUAGAGUAUCAGAGAGGAUUGCAGAAUUCCUGGUGUAGCGGCGAAAUGCGUAGAUAUCAGGAGGAAUACCGUUAGCGAAGGCGGCAAUCUGGCUGGAAACUGACGCUGAGGUGCGAAAGCGUGGGUAGCAAACAGGAUUAGAUACCCUGGUAG